UUCACUUAUAAUUAAUUUUCAUAAUCCCUUAUAACAUCAAUAAUUUUUCCUAAUUAUUUUCAUAAGUAGAAUUAUGAAAAUAGUAAGUAGCCAAAACAGAUAUUUCCCCUUCUGAGUCAUUAAUUAAACUUAUGAUUUUCACAAAUAUUCAUUGUGGUGCCAAAUCAUAAGUGGUUUUGAUGAAGGUCCUAAGUUUUUUUGGCUGAGUGCACGGUUUCGCACCGGGUUCACCAAUACAAAUAUACUUCAACUGUCAAAACCACGUGGGUGGGUGGGACUUGGCGGAAUAAACAAGCAGAAGGGAGAAACGAAACUGUCUGUUUAUAGGCCUUUUCAUGUGACACUGCCGAGACUGCACUUGUUUACAACCGCUGAACAGGCCUGCAAGUCCGAAGCUGUCACUUUCAUAGAAGAACUGUCAAUUGACGAUAAAAUCAGCUGUUUUUAAACGUCUCGUGAAGAGGCCCAUUAAAAUAAAGUGCGCAUUGAAAAUCUUUUUUUUUUUGGGAAUUUUGUGAUAUUUGUAAUUGUAGUUUUAAAUGAAAUUAAUCCAGUACUGUUUAGAUUCAGUUUUAAAAAUAAUUGUUAGGGAAGUUAUGUAUUCAUAAGUUCAUUCAGGUUUUCCUCGCAUUUUGUGUCCUAAAUUAGGUCGGUGGAUGAAAUUAUGUAGUUUGGGAAUUCCCUUUGAAACCCGUUCAUAAAAUCCGCUAGGAAUUGUCAGAAAAAUAUAAUUGAGGAAUACCGAAUAGAAUUAUUUCUUAUGCAGAAUUUCUUUUGAAAUUCUUCCAAAAACUCUUUCGUGCGUUUCAGAAUUUUCUUCGGGAAUUCUGCCAGAAAUUACUUCAGACAUUCCCCGCAUAGAAAUAAAUCGUAUGCUGAAUAUUUCAUAUUAUAAGUAUUCCAUUCCGCUUGUAAUCAUCAUUAGCUGUACGAUACAUGUGCAAUCAUAUGAUUAAGUUUUUUACCGCCCUGAUCAUACCAAAUUAUUGACAGAUUGUACAUCUUAUAAUAAAGAUACCUGGAAUGAGAAAUGAAAAAUAUUCUCAUAAGAAAAAAAUCAUACAUGAUAUAAUUUGGGUAGCUUUUCACACCCGACUGAACAAAAAGAAGUGUUUUCAUUUUCAGUGUUGAAGCACGUUGAAGUGUCAAUUCUUUCGGCAGUUGGUCGGGCAGACUUUAUAAAUAUCAUUAUAAAUAGUUUUCUUAAAGUUGGUGGUGAUCUCAAAUGCAUAAUCAUCCAUUUCCUCCCAUACACUACACGGGGAAGCGCCGUGAUCGAGCGCCGGUUGUAUACUGGAUUCAGCUAAUCGGGGUCAACCUUGGGCCAAUGCUUCCGAUGAUAUGCUUCCGAAGGUGAAAUUGUUGAGUGGACAUCCGUACGGAAGAGGUCCUGUAAACGCAGCUUAUGAAUCCAGUGUCCUGCACUCGGUAAUAGUGGUGAGUGUGGCAAAAUAUGUUUUGAUGUGAUUAUGAUAACUAUAUUAGGCAAUAAAUUAAAUAUAACAGAUA